rnacentral:RNase_P_RNA from 1 species
GUGGACAGGUGACCGCCGUUUCGUCAUGCGGAGCGGAGGAAAGUCCGGACACGACAGGACACGGUGGUGGGUAACUCCCACCGGCUCGCGUUGGGCCAGGGAAAGUGCCACAGAAACGAUACCGCCCGCUGCGGCGGGUAAGGGUGAAAUGGUGCGGUAAGAGCGCACCGCUCGACUGGUGACAGCCGAGGCAGGGCAAACCCCACCGCGUGCAAGCGCAAGCAGUCCUCGCGAGCAGCUUCGGUCGCUCGGCCCGUGGUCCGCGGGAUGAGGACGGGUCGCGUGCUCGAGGCGUUCGGAGACGAGCGUCCUAGAUGAAUGGUCGCCGCCCAGCCGAGCCGUCAAGGACCGCGAGGCAGGGAACAGAAUCCGGCUUAUGUCCACAGAC